GUAGAGUCCAGGGUUUCCAUUUUUAUUAUUAAACUUUUUUAUCUUGAAUUGUUUUUUAAAUAUUGGUGUUUAUGAAUGUAWWGYWUAMAWAWCAUAWAAAAUAWAAUAUAUAUAUUGACAUGCAUUAAACAAAGAUAUAUAUUAUUUUAUGUUGUAUAAAYAAAUUGGCAAAAUAGAGAUGGAAGAUAAAAAUAUGGUCAAAGUAAUAAGAGUCUAUGGUGAAUGCCUAGGAGCUUUAAGGCGAAGAAGGUCGUGGUAAGCUGCGAAAAGCUUGGGGGAGAAGCAAACAUUUAUUGAUCCCAAGAUUACCGAAUGGUAGCUCCAUGCUAGCUAUCUAUUAUCUAUCUAUUAUUUAAAUAAUAGAGGCGAUACCAACCAUCUUGGUACCCUGAAGUACCCUGAA
rnacentral:misc_RNA from 1 species